GUCCUGGAUUACUGUAUUUCCAUGUCAAUUUUUUAGUUGAUCCACAGUAUAAAAAAAAAUUUGCUGCUUUUUUGACACAGCCCAUUCCACUUUAGGACCAAUAAUUAUCUGGAUAUAUUUAUUUCCAUUGAUAGGACCUCCUGCCUGUCUGCUAGUUCCGCCCUCUGGGACCAAGCCAACAAAUCUAAUAAUCCACAUGGUGACAGCCCAUCAAGAUACUUUAAAAGACAGCUUUCAUACUCCCUUUGUCUUUUCUCCACGUUAAAUAGCUGCAGUUCUUUCAAUUGAGUUGUACUGCAUAAUCUGAAAUUUUGUGCACAAGUAUGUGUGCAUGUGUAUGCACACACUCCCCCCACACACACAAGCACUGGUUGCCUUUCGAACAUGCUUUAGCUUUUUGAAGUUAUCUGUAUGUUUAAAAAAAAAAAAAACACAUUUCAGAAACAAGAAGUUUAUUAUUGUGGCAGUUUUUCCAAGAUAUUUUUACUUUGUUAAAAUAUUUCCCAAUUACAGGUAAAAACCUUUUUUAACAUUCAUUUUUAAGAUUGAGUUUCAAAUUCUUUCCCUCUCACAUUUGAUACCAAUGAUACAUAGUGUCUUGGAGUUCUUGGAAUACUGUUUCUUCUUGAAUAAACUGAAAGACAAGGCAACCCUUUUAUGUUCAGCAGGAAUCUGUUCUCCUUAGACUUAUGAGAUAUAGAUUUUCCUUAGAUAUAUGAGUUGUUUUCCCGGGUAACAAUAUUUCUACUAAUGCUUCUUAAAUGAAGUACUUGAAGAUACCAACAGCUCCUAAUCUAUUGAAUGUGUGGAAUAAUUAUUUCCUUUAUAUUUUAAAGGGGACAGCAUUUCCCUUUCCUCUCCCCCAAUAAGUCAGAAUUUGGUGUAUUUAGUGUACAAAAGAGUAUUCUUAAAAGUACAGAAAAAUCAGAAGGCCCAGAGACCACAGGAUAAAUUAAUUGUUCAAGGAAUGGUGUGUCAUGCUGAAUUAGAACUUAAACCAGGGAACUCAGAAUGGAAUGGCAAAGGAACACAUUUGUGUAAGGUACAUUUCAAAAGGCAACAGAAUUUGGUGAGGAGGAGAAAGGAGAAGCUAAUGAGGAUACAAAGUUUCAAGUCUAGAUGACAGGCCAAGUGAUAGCACCAACUGAUUUAAAUGAGGUAAAACUGUUGAGAAAUAGAUGCUUUUGGCCUUUUUGGGUAACUGAAAGCAUCCUGAAGAAUGCUGGAGAUUUUUUAAAAGGGGGAUUGCUAAAGCUAGGGGAAAGAAUAACUUCACAAAGAGAAAGCAAAAAAGAUCAAUGAUUGUCUUGAAAAUACCUGGGGGAAGGGGGGGGAGGGGAAGUAGUUUCCAAGAUACAAAAUGAGGUCAGCAGUGUUACUAUGGAGGUCAAGGAAGAAUGAAGAGAAUCAAAAAAGGGGAAGGGAGGCAAUUCCUUUUCAGGUGGAGUUUCUUAAAGCAUUAAUUUAAAAAUGUACAGACCAUGUUCUUUCAGUCUUAACUGAUGAAAAUAAUUUUAGGUGUAGGAAUGCAUAAAACAAUUUCUUGUACUCAUUUUCUGAUAUACAUUAUUAGCAAUUUUGUGACUUAUAUGAGUAAUUUUGGAGCAUAUUACAAUUUCCAAAUGAGAUUUAUUGGAGGAUUUUUCUUACUCUUAAGCCUCAAAUUUUAGGGUCUUCCUUCAGAGUCUGGCUGUCAUCCAGUAGUCUGAAGGGAGCAUCUGUAUUUUCACAUUAACUUUUGGAGGUGUAGCUUUAGAUCUUUUCCUUCAUAAAAAACUUCCUGACUUGGGUAAAUGAGGUUUCAACAAUUCGCCUUGUUUCUGAGAUUCUAGAGAAAAGCAAGCUGCUACUUGUUGCCUCCACUCCCAGAUAUAGGUUAUGGGAUUUUUGAAAAUUGUAACUGGUUGAAAAGAGAGACACUCCUGAGAGUCUGACUCACUCUAUGGGUAACUUCGCAAACUUAAGGGGUUUGUUCUUGUGACCUUGUUGCAGAAUCAAAGCAUUCACCUCUCCUAUAUGUGCUGGGAGAGUUUAUAUGUCCAAGAAAUGGAUCAAUGGGUAAUCCACUGGGAGUUAGUCCCUAAAGCUUGGUUGAUAGCAUACCUACAAAUCAAGUUGGUCAAGAGCAGAUUUACAGAUUAUAUAGUGCCUCUGCUUGAGAAGGCUUGAGAAGCAUGGCAAAAUUUAGAAUGAAUCUAAGUCCAUGAUUUUGCCAAUCUACAUCAUUUUCACAGCAAUUGUACUGUCUAAAUUAGGACUUUUUUUUAGGGUUACUCUUUUCUUUCUCCCUUUUAAGGAGAAAAUUUUUUUUAAAGGACAGGAGAAAUGAGUUAUAGCUACUCCCCCAAGAAAUGAGUUAUAGAUCCUCCCCCUGCCCCCAACAAUUCCCUUAGCUACUAAUCCACAGUGACUACAAGUCUAUGAUUCUGAUAUUUCUUGUCAAAUUUGGUCUGGGGGAAAAAUGUGAGCCACCUUUAAUUUCAACUCUUCCUCACUCUCACCACCAGAAUGUAUAAUUUGCAGAUAACUGCAGUCUUGCACAUUAGCUAUCUUAAUUCCCUGUACUAUCAAUCCUCCUGUGACUUUAUGGCAGUUACUUGGCCUCUCUGGAUCCCAUCUGCAAAAGAAGAGGGUUUGAAUUUUAUCUCAAGUCUCUAAGCUCUAGUUACUACAGUAGAAGAGUGUAGCCCUGAAGUCUUGGUCCUAAUUUUUAAAUUAUAUAAUGCUCCUUUAUCUUCACUGACUACACUCACCACCAACAGAAUUUCAGUAUUAUUUUUCUUAUCAGUUUAGAACCUUCAUAAUAGUACUACUGUAUAAGAUAAAUUGCCAAUAUUGGGCAGCCUGGAGUUUCCUGGGAACCUUUGAAGUUUCUAAAGUUUCACCACCUUUUGAGAUAGUAGGAACUUCAGAGUUGAAAGGACAGAUAUAGUAAAGUAUAAUCUUGAAGCCUCUGAAUUUAAUGUGGAAAUUAAAUUGCAAUCAUUUUGAAAAUGUUUUCAGUACUCCACAAAGUAUCUAACGAGAAAAAUUAUGCCCACUUUAAUUGCCAAUAGAGUACAAACUGAAUGACAAAGAUGAGAUAUUUGUAAGUUAUGAAUAUCUGACAUUGUUUGAGCUCUCCAUUGUAGAUUUAACAAUACAUGGUAAUGUAAUGGAAUGAGUACUGGAUCAAAAGUUCCAAGUUAAAAAAUUUUGCCUCUAUGCAUUGCCUAGCUGUAGACCAUAGGCAAAUAACCUGUGAGCUUCAGUUUUCUUAUGUGUAUGUAGUUUGAUAACUAUCCAACAAGGACAAAAUACCUAGUAAAUUUCUAAGCACUGAUAAGGUAUUGGGAUCUUAAACAACAAAAAACUUGCCAUCAAUGAAUUUCUAUUGGAAGAAACAAUCUAAGUAAUAUAAGUUUUUUCCUGGGAAGGGCACUUACAAGAGGAAUAGGUUGGAGAGAAUGGAUUGGAGAAAAAUGGCAUUUGAGCUGAAUUGUAAAGGAAGCCAUAUGAAACACUACAUGUGAAUAUUAUCAUAGUUACAGUAAAGGACAAAAUAUAGAAAACUUUACAAUAAAAUUUCAUCUAGUUUAAUUUUAUAAUACAUAAUAGAAGAAAUGUCAUUAACUUAGAAGAUGAGCACAACUAGGAAGAGAAUAUGCCCUUCAUAUCUUCUUCCCCAAAGAUGACACUUCUUACUACUAGGCUUGCAGUCCUCAUCCAUCACUUCUAUCAACCAGUUUGCCAAUAUUCAGUUCAUCUUUCAGUCAUUUGUGUGACUCCUCCCCAAGCUCCAGUUUCUAAUUUACAAUUUACUGCUGAACAUUUUUAGUUGUGGAACCUGCAUACUCUUACUACAUGUUUAAAGCCAAACUCCAUCUUAGCCUUCAAACCAACUUACUUUCUGGAUUCCCCUAUAAAGAUUCUUCUAGAAUUCAGGUUGGCGACAAAUUCACUAGAACCCAGUAUUUUUCUGUAGUGGUCUGACUUUCUGAACCCCCCCAAGUUGAGGGACUGUAACCAGUCAUAUGGUGAUCAUGGCACAAUACCUCCAACUGAGCAGAAAGAACCCUACCCAAGUCUAACCCAUAGUUGAUUCCAGAGAAUUUCUGAAUAAUUUCCCUUUCAGCUUGAGGGCCAACAUGUAAUUAUAAUACCAAAUAGUCUCUAUUGAUAAAAUUGUAGGUUUGGAAGGGACAUUAUCUGAUCAAAACUUUCUAAUUUGUAUUAUAAUCCUAUUUUAUGCAGACUUCAUCUCUAUUAGAAAGCUGCUUUUGGAAAGUGAUUUUAAUUUAAUGUUUUUUUUAGAAAUAGGUGAUUUUAGCCCCAGGACUUUGGAUCACAGAAUAAGAUUUAAAGCUGAAAGGAACCUCUGAGAUUAUCUACUUCAACUCUUUCAUCUUUUAAAGAUGAGAAUGAGAUUCAAAGAGGUCCAAAGACUUACAACCAGGAUCAGAACCAGAAUGUAAAUUUAUGCCCUUUGAAUCAAAAUCCCAAUGUUCUUUCUUGCAGUGAACCACAGCUCCCCUUCACCCUGCCAACUAAUGAAAAAGUGCAAAUACUAAGAGGGAGAUAGAGUACUCAGGCAGCAUAUGGGGGUGUUGCAGAAAUCGUCAAAUGGAAAUUAAAGAUUACUGAAAGGACCACUUAAGAUCACACACCCAAAACCACAAUGUUCACUGAGAAAAGGCUGCUAGAAAGUGUCUGCAUAAUGAUACAAUGAAGAGAACGAGGGGUCAGUACUGUUAAGUGGAGUUGGGGCAAAAACCUAAGAAAUCAAAUCUGUAAGAUCCUGUAGUUACAUAAGUGCAGCCGUUCUGGGGAACGAGUGAGAUAUAGAUACUUCUAUACUUGCUUCUUUGGACAGGCUGGGAUAAGGUGAUCUGCUUGGACUGUACAAGAUAGGACUAAUUCUGAUGGACCCAUGGACUUCCCUGCAGCUACAGAUAUACAAAAACCUAGAGAUAGUGGAUUUAAUUUUUGUAAAGGCCUGAUUAAAAAGUAAAUCUCAAAUUUAGUACUUUGGGAACACUAAAGAGUGAAAAGGACAGCUGUGGUUUUUUUCCAUUACUGCUAACAGAACAAUAAGCUUAACCUAAGCCUACUCCAUAAAUAGCCUGAUUUAGCUGUAGAUUUUUGUAGUUUGACUCUUCACUAGUUAAAAGAUAAACAGGGAGUACCAUAAGCACUACCUACUUAGGUAUAUUCACUUGAAAUUAAAUUAGUAACAUAUCAAAUUGCCACUGAACAUGUCUAUAUGCAAAAUAAAAUGCAAAAAGGCAAAGCAAUCACACAAUCCAAUUUAUCUAACUCUGUUUUCAGUUGAAAUCUGUUACUUGAAUUGUCUAGAAUGUCUAGUUGUCUAAUAUAUUACACUUAACAAAGGGCUUUGGACAAAACAAAUGCCAACCUAUAAAGAUCCUAUUAUGUGUCAUCUCAAUUUUCGGAUUCUUAGAAUUUGAAAUGAAAUUUUUAUCAAAAAGGAGUUAAAAAAAAGGGGGGGGGGAAUUCAUUUACAAAAGAAAUACAGUAAUUUCCAUAGCUUUUAACCAAAAACUUAAGGUAGAAGUCCAUAAUACAUUUUUCUACACACAAUGAACAGACUUAUUGUAGGUAGGGCUGUGUCUCUUGAAGAAGAUAUAAUUCCAAGGACACUUGUUAAUUUUUUCCAAAGUUGAUACAAAAGUUUUAUUUCAAAAAUGAAAAGGGUAAUAUAUUAUUUACAAAAGCCCACCUUAGUAAAUCAGUGUUCAUUGAUUUUCAUGUUCAGUCACAAAACAUGUUAAUCAUUUUUUGUUUUGCUGAAAAUUUUGUUCUUGAAAUAUAUUUAUCUUCCAUGCAAUCUAGGAAAUUUUAGGGAAGGAAGUAGGAUUAUUUUGGGGACAGGACUUGCUAAAUAUCUAGGCAAGGCCACACUUGUAAAUCUCAAUCUAAAAAACAAGACUUGGAAAAUCAGUUGAACACGUGGUAAUAAAAUGAGGAUCAAAAACAAUCGAAAAUGAAUAAGGAAAUUUUGAGAAAAAAAAAAGACCAGAGAUAGCAUGGAAGUGGGCAUCUGAAAAUGGGGGAGGGUGUAGUCCCACCAAGGCUUCAAAGAUGAGGAUGAACUCCUGGAGUGAAAACUAGUUCUACCCAUGGUAGGUAAGUUAAUAAUCUGUAAUUUAUAGUCUCAAGUGAUAUAGGGAACUGAGAAGGGACAAGUCAUGACGACAGCUAGUCAGAUUGGACUUUAGUCCAACCCUGGUCUUCUAGCCACACUGCACUUCACGUAUUGCUUCUUAGGCCUUAAGGAAAUCUGUUCUAAAAUAACUGACAGCGGGAAGCCAUUUUAGGCUUCUGAAAAUUAUACCAGCAUUAUGUUAGCAGUAGCACAGGUCCAGAAAUCACAGUAAAGAUUAGUAAAUUUAGGUCUUGUAGGAAGCUUUGUGGUACUUUCUCUGUCCUAAUGUAACGAAAGGAGGCUAGGGUGGCUAUUUAGUCACCUGGUGGAGGUGGGGAGGCUAAACCAGGUUUUCAAAAUGGUGUCUUAAGGUGUGCCCGUCAGGCAAGUGCCAGGGAAUACAAGUGCAUUCUAGUUUUAGGGAGGUGGCAGUGUGGGACGUUCCCAGGGGGAUGGGCGGGUAUCGAGGUGACUUGGGAGAGUGCGGUAAUUAGCUGGCUGGACCCAGGUAACGUCCCUUGUGGUUCUCUUCCCCCAUCCUUCAGAAACCUUUGUUCCCUGAAAACCUAGGGAAAAUGAAGCUAUGGUACAAAACGAAGCAUUUAGAGGGGAAGGGGUAUUUAGUUCAAGUCAGACAAGUCUUAAAUCUCCGUGCUUCACUUUUCACACGGACCUGCUCCACCCUAGGAAUUUGUGGGGUUAGUUUGUAACUUAUGCGGGUUUAACUCGCAGAAACCCCGCGGGCCGUUCUUUGCCCCCUCCCGCGUUAAUGCGCACGUAUUUAUGUAACAAAGGGAACAAAAAAAAUGGAGACCACAAUUUCGUGUAGGUUCUAAGGUCCCCAGGAGCCGGGAAAAGUGCAUCUGAGGAGCUUCCCCGCUAGGAGGUCGAGGAGAGGGCGCGGCACCCUCCCACGCCACCCCGGAAGACCCGUAGCAGAACUAGGCCCUCCGCGCCCUCCCCCCAGCCCCCACCGCAUUGCACCACCUGGGGUUUUCACGCCCUUGGAGCCCGGGAAUCUGGGCCUCCGGGCAUCGAAGACAAGCUUGGAUUUCAGGGUCGGAGGGACCCCCUGCACGAAGGAGGAGCCCGCACUCUGCUCGCUCUCCCCCUCCUCCUCCCUCAGCUCCACAGCGGCAGCGACCGCCGCCACCCACGAGUCUUCAGCAGAACCCCCUCCUUCCAGCGCCCCUGCGGCCCUCUUCCUGCCACGUUGCGCAGGGGCGACGAGCCAGACACUGCGGCGCUGGGCUAAGACCCUACCACCGCGGGAGCCGCGGGGCAGGAGGGCCUCUCGCGGUCCCCGCCGACGAACGCAGUGGUUUCGCUCGCUCAAGUCGGAGCCAAUAGCCGGCCAGGUUCCCAUCUCCGAGAUCCAAUCAGACCCCACGGCCGCCCAGGCGGCGGGUAACCGAACUCUUUCGGAAAAGGGUGGAGACGCCCGAGACGCUGUCCAGGCCCACACUCUCCAGGCCCUCCCCCUCCGGGCCGCAGCGGGGCGGGAGAAGCGGGAGGCACCUUCUCAUCUCCCUCUAGGUCGCCCUGCCCCCUCCCCGACCUACCUACCCCGCCCAAGGGGCAGUCCGAUUGCCUAGGCAGCGGCGUACUCUCGAGGCCGUAAUUGACAGGAGCUUCACUCCAACCAGCAAACGCCAUUUGUGUUUUCACACGCGGCGGGAGGCGAGGCGCCCAAUCAGCGAGAGGAGGCGGGCCAGAAGAGCUCCUCCCGCUGCGGGAGCCAUGGCGGAGUUCUGGUCUUGCUUUAUCUGCACUCUUCCGCUUCUCUUCCCCCCCCCCCCUCCGACCCCGCUCCGGCGCAGCGGACAGCCCCAGCCUUUCGGUUUCCGUAAAGCGAAACACUAAAGUUUCCACUUCCUAUAUUUUAGACGGCUUCAAUCAUUUCCCCCCCGUCAGCCGGCCAACCCUAAACCCCCCGAAGAGUUCCGCUCCCUAC
rnacentral:lncRNA from 1 species